rnacentral:lncRNA from 1 species
GAAAUUCAAUUUUGGGAAAAAUAAAAAUAAUAACAAUAAUAGGAAAAGAAGAAACCUACGUAUGAAAGGUAGGCAACUUUUUUUUUGCGGGUUUUUUUUGCGCUUUUUGCUUUUUUUGCUAUUUUUUUAAAGAAUAAGAGGAGAAUAAACACAAAAUUCAAAAAAAAAGAGAAUCGACGAAACCGAUGAAAAGUUUUUUUGGUAUUUUGACUCGUUUCGGAUUUGAUUUUAGCUUCAAAAAUAACACCGAAUGGCCUGAAAUUGAUACCAACUGAUGCGGAAAACCCGGAUCUAGACACAAGAGAAACACAAAUUAGAAAUAAAACGAGAAUAAAUAAAAUUAGUUAAAU